CAAUACAAAUCGUGCCUGUAGCACACCCGUUGAGUACCACUGUGUUGCUCAAACAUCCUUUCUGUUUUCUCAGAUAUGCAUUGAGAUGGCCGAACCUGGUGGAUUAACACAGGUGAUGGAGAGCAAUGUCACCAAGGACUAUUUAUCUUCUUGGAGUAAAGCUGGACGUAUUGAGUCUUUGAAGAGCCUGAAACAGCGUCUGCAAGACUCUGGUGAGAACAAAGUUCACCUCAAAAUGAAACCAAGAAGACCGCAGAAUCGACAGAUGCAGUGACCAAAGGUGACUGCCA